UAUUUUUCCAUUUUUUUUCCAGAAAUAACUUUACAAAUCUCCGCUCUUCACUCUAACGAUUUAGGGUUCGCUUUCUCCUCCUGAAAUAGCAAGUUCUCUUUUUCUCUUUAAUCUCCCAUUGUCUUUCACUCUAACAAUUUAGGGUUCACUCUAAGUUGCGAUUUAAUGUGAUAUCCGAUUGCGAAAAUAUUUGUGCAUUGCGAAAAUAGUUGUGCGAAAUCAGUCUCUACAUUGCGAAAAUAGUUGAUAUCCGAUUUUAAUUCCUCUAAGUUUGAUAUUUGUGUGAUUUUAAUGUGAAUUUCAGCAAUUACAACUCAAUUGAAGCGUGUUUGUCGCUGAAUCUCCUGACAAAAGGUACAACUCGAAUUGCAACUCUCUGCCCUCUCCUUACUAAUUUGUUUAUAUCCGAUUUUAAUUCCUCUAGGGUUUUGAGUAUGUUUUCCUAAAAUCUGAAUUUCAGUAGUUUCUGCAUGUGAUUUUAUUUAGGUUUCUCUGCUCCAAUUUCAAUAAUUUUUCCAUGUGAUUUGAUUUAAGUUCUCUCUGCUCCUUUUUUGUUUUAGAAGAAGAAGGUUUUUUCCUCAACUUCAAAACUCCAGUAAUUAUAAUAGUAUUAGGCAGUCAUCUUCUUAUUUCUGAUAGGAUGAACUAAGAAGAAGAAAGCUACUAAGAAGAAGUAGACAAUAUUCAGCUUUUAUUAUUUUCCCUCUGUUUGUAUGAAGUUGUUGAAAGAAUUAGAGGGUUUUAUCUUCUAAACUCAUUCUAUGAUUGAAAAAAAAAGUAUAAAGAUUGAAUUGUUGUUCUCAUAUUGUUAUAGUUGUGUUUUAGUAGUAACUGGCUAAUUGAUGUUUAUUUAUGAUUCAAGUUGUUACAUAUUUCAUUUAAAUGCAAAGAAUAUCGGUAUUCGAAACUCAGUUCGCUGAACUAUUCGACGAGGCCGCCUCUGAAUUAGUAAGUGAGGUUUUGAGCUGAAUUUGUGUACAUCUGUACCUCUUGAAGAAGUCCAAUAGAGCUAAUAGGCAUAUUUGGUUCACAACAGAUGGAGAAUUAUGAGUGUUGGAGUAAUAGGAAUAUUUGAUUUUUAGUAGCAUUUGGAUUUUGUAAACCUUUCCUAUACAUUUAUUCUAAGAAUAUAAGUUGUUCUGGGGUUGGACUCCACCUUGUUGGUCUUGUCAAUUUUUCUCUUUUUAGAAAAGACAUGUUUUUUCUUUUCUUGGGCUUGAGACUGAAAAGGUUAAGGCUUAGAUCAACGGAUUAAACUGUUUGGAGAAUGAGGUUUUUCAUAGGUAUAUAUCGAGGAAAAUGUGAUAGAAAAAUUUAACAAAAUAUUUGGCUUCUGUGAAGUGUGGACAGAAUGGUUGUAACAUAUACUUUGAGGUUGUCAAACUCAUUUUAUGGUUGUGUGCGACCAUUAGCUUUAUAUGAACAUAUUUGAACAUCUUAUGCAACUAAAAAUAACUGAUAAGUAUGAAGAAUCACGUCAUGAAAUAUUCUUACAUCUUUGGUUGGGCUCUUGGUUUUUCCUUUAACUAUUUGUAAAUUGAGGUAAUAACGACUCAAUUAACAAGACUCAAGGUUCAAAAUAAUUACUAAUGAUGGGAUUUAGAUGGUUGGCUUUGUGGAUUUUCUACUAUAGACUUGCUUCUUAAGGCUUAUGAGAUGGAGUAUUGUUGUUUUGGUUAUCAUUCUCUUAGAAAAAUUAUCAAUACAGAUGAGGAUUCCCUUUCUGCUGUGGGAUUUUUGUGCUGUUCCUCUCUAUAAAGUCCCUUAGCAUUGGUCCAUCUGUUGAAUGAUAAUAAUGGAGAUAAAGCUGUAUUUAGGUUCCAUGGUAACAAUCAAUCACAUUCUUGCCUAAUGUUAUCUUUGUAGUAAUAUUUUUAGUUAUCUUAUUAUGCUAUUACAAUGACAUCACCAGCUCCCAAGAACCAUCCAAUGAAAGUAGAAAAAACUGGGCAAAUGAGGGUGGAUGGGGGUGGGGGGCUAUGGGGUAGUUUCUCUAUAAUCACAAAAGCAAGAUAGAUCACAAGAAUCCUUUGGUGAUAUUAUGUGUCACACCUCCUUUUUACAUACCCGCGAGGGUACAAGGGAGUUUUUUUCGAUUAAAGGACAAUCGAAACGGGAUUGGUUUAUUUAUUUCAGAGUCGCCACUUGGGAGAUUUAGGGUGUCCCAAGUCACCAAUUUUAAUCCCGAAUCGAGGAAAAGAAUGACUCCAUAUUACAGUCUGCGUACCAAAAAUCCGGAUAAGGAAUUCUGUUAACCCGGGAGAAGGUGUUAGGCAUUCCCGAGUUCCGUGGUUCUAGCACGGUCGCUCAAAUGUUAUACUCGGCUUGAUUAUCUGAUUUUAUACAAAUGUGAACUUAUAUGCCAAUUUUAUCUUUUAACCGCUUUUGUCAUUAUUAUUAUUUUACAAGAAUUGCAACGUCGUGAAAACAUAUCUCGAACCACGUUACAUCAAUGCACCUGUGGUUAUCGAUAUAUCUCGACUCGGUUGAGAUUUAGAUUUGGGUCACAUAAAUGUGCACCCGAAUUAAGGAAAAUAAAUUGUUAAAGGCGCGCCUAAAGCAACUAGCGUCUUGUUAUUUUGGGGAAGGUCGUAAAAAUCCGUUAAACGGCACAUCUCGAAUUCUAAACACUUUAAUAUAUACAUACAUUUAGAGGGCCCCACAGCUUUGUACAUUUUUUGUUUGUCGAGGCUCGUCUCAUUCUUAUUUUUAAAAGGAAUUUGCGACGUCAUGGACACGCAUCUCGAACCACGUCACAAUCAAUGUACCCGUGAUUAGAAACACAUCUCGAAUCCGUCGAGAUUUGGAUUUGGGUCACAUAAAUGUGCACCCGAAUUUAAGAAGGUAAAAUUAUUAAAUACGCGCUUAAAGAGGCUAUCGCGUUAUUAUUCCGGGAGGUUCAUGAGAUUUGCUAAACGACCCACCUUGGAAACUGAAUGCUUCGAUAUAUACAUUUAACGAGGGCCCCGCAGCUUGUUCUUUAUCUUGUCGAGGCUCAUCCCGUCCUUAUUUUAAAAGGAUUUCCUAUAGCAACUACGUUUCUUGUCGCGUUUGUGUCUACUAAUUGAAAACAGAGAUAGUCCUAGUUAAUUACGUGCUUGCAGGCUUAUUUAUAGCAGGAUUCAAAAUGCUUUUACAGAAUGAGAAAACGUGAUUACACACAUGGACAGCUGAUCGAACAUUAUGGGCCCAAAUCCAGCUCAUGCGGGAUGGGCCAGACCUGGGCCACUGUUCAUCUGAUGCGGACCUGCUUGGCCCGUUUCUACCUGGACUCAACCUCCAUGAGGUUGAGACUGCAGCUUUGUGUUCUUUGUUCUAAAGUAUGGUUUAUAGUUAUAUGAGACCAUUUAUCAGAAGGGAAAGAACUUAUCUAAUAGUGGAUAGUUUUCAUGCUUGGCCUACAUUAAAGAAUAUACGACACAAUUAAACUAAGUCUAAGAUACAACCCAUUGCAUUGGGAAUAUUUUCACCUAACAGCAUACAUAUAUGAACUAACAUUCAACUAAUCUACAUUGAUAUAUACUAGGCAUGCAGGCUACUUCUAUUAUCCAAACAGGAAUGAAAAUUAUUAUACAGUACAUGAUAUUUAAUGUAACAGUCUAUGUAUAUGUAAACAUCUGCAGAUCUUCUCCUUUACAUUCAUGCUCAAACUUUUCAAGUUACACUGGUAGUAUACUUGUGUACCUGAUAUAGAGAACAAAAGGAGGAAGAAAAUGAUCAGCUGAGUGGUACGCAGCAAGCACAGCAACAGCAGAUAAAUACAGCCCAACACAGCAACAACCAAACAGCCACAAAGAUGGAGUUCACACGUUGGUCGAGCGACAGACAAACAAUC
rnacentral:lncRNA from 1 species